GUCUAUUUGGUGGUAUAAAUAGUCUGACCUGCUCACUGAUAAGUUUAUUUAAGAGCCGCGGUAUUUUGACCGUGCAAAGGUAGCAUAAUCAUUAGGGGUUUAAUUGGAACCUGGUAUGAAGGGUUGGACAAAGAAGGGACUGUCUUUGUAGUAUGAGUUGAAGUUUACUUUUAAGUGAAAAGGCUUAAAUAUAUCAAAGGGACGAUAAGACCCUAUAAAGCUUUAUAAGUUAUUUAAAUUUGGUUAAUUUAAAUUAUAAAGAUUAAAUUUAAUUAUUUUAUUUUAUUGGGGCGAUAAAAGCAUAAAUUUUGUUAACUGCUUGAAAUAAAUACAAAUAUAAGUGAGUAAAAGAUGUAUGAUCCUUUUUAAAGAUUAAAAGACUAAGUUACUUUAGGGAUAACAGCGUUAUUUCUUUUGAGAGUUCAUAUCGAAAAAGAAGAUUGCGACCUCGAUGUUGAAUUAAAAUAUCUAUAUAAUGCAGCCGUUAUAAAAGAGGGUCUGUUCGACCUUUAAAUUUUU
rnacentral:rRNA from 1 species